UACGUAGGGUGCGAGCGUUAAUCGGAAUUACUGGGCGUAAAGCGUGCGCAGGCGGUUUUUUAAGACAGGCGUGAAAUCCCCGGGCUUAACCUGGGAACGGCGCUUGUGACUGGAAGGCUAGAGUACGGCAGAGGGGGGUGGAAUUCCACGUGUAGCAGUGAAAUGCGUAGAGAUGUGGAGGAACACCGAUGGCGAAAGCAGCCCCCCUGGGCCGAUACUGACGCUCAUGCACGAAAGCGUGGGGAGCAAACAGG
rnacentral:rRNA from 1 species